GAGGAGGUCGACGAUGGUGAGGCGGCAGAGGCGACGGCAAUCAACAAAGAGAGCAAGAAGGGAGGGGGCUGGGAGGAGGAGGAGGAGAAUGAGGAUAGAUGAGUUAUCGAAGAGGUGGGUUAGAAUUAGGAAGGCAUGUGAAAAGGAAAAAUGCCCGUACGAGCAGUAUUGGGAGAAGAAUGGGGGGAGGGAGAAGUAGAUGAACAUUUAAUAAAAUGUUACGAUGGGAAAAAAAAUCUAUAGUGCUGCAAAAUA
rnacentral:lncRNA from 1 species